rnacentral:lncRNA from 1 species
UUGUAGUGUAAUUCUUGGCUGUAAAUACAUAUUUGCUUGACUCCCACCGCUGUAUGGUCCACAUGGCAUACUGCAUUUUAUUUUGCCUCUAAACUUUUAUAGGUGGGGAGGAUUUUGGUAUUUGUUAUUAUAAGAUUUUCUCGUCUAGUGCUUUGCUCAAUGGUAAGUCUGCAUUUACCACAGCAGGGAGAGUCUAUUAUAAGCUGUUCUUUUUUUUCCAUGCUGUAGCACUAUUUCUCUCUCUCGCCUACUGAGCUGAAUUACUGCAUACUGGCAAAAAAUGAAACAGCACACACCGGUGCCACCGGCAUGUCGGCCAGGGACAGAAUAUCUAAAUCUGGCUUCAGGAUCAUUUGGUUCUAAUUCUAUUUCCAGUGAAAUCUAUUGAGAAUGAGUCCUUAAUCUUAAAGAAAAAAGAAUCAAGAGCUGUAGUCUCAUAGGCCUGCAUUGUUAACUUUAAACACAGUAGCUGGAUCUCUUCUUUCAGAAGUGUUACUUUUAUGAAAUACAGCUUCAAUCAGAAUUCCUGUAAAAGAGAUCCUCCAAGAACUGUGAGUGAACAAACUGUCGCAUGCUGAUGUUUCGCUCUCCAUCACAGAGCAGUGCUGUUCAUGCAUCAGUACAGCAUGCAGAGCCCUUCUGCAGAUAAGCACUCAGGCAAAUCCAUGUGGGACUAUUACAGUUUUGAACAAUUUAGUAACGUGUAAAAAAAUGCCCAUUUCAGAACAGAGGCCAGCCUUCUGUCCAGGUGUCAGAACUGUUUUCCUUCCUAGUGAAAGAGUAAAGGUGGAGUCACAAUAUUGCACUUGGGGUCCUUGAGGUGGGGCUGCGCUGCAGAGCUCAGUCCACCAGUAAGGCCUGCAGCUCCUUCUGCUCCGAAAUCAGAAGUCAGCUUUUUGCAUGACUUGGCACCUGAAUAUAUUGACCGGUGAUUGGUGGGGGGAAAAUGUCAAAAAUUGCAUAGAAGAACAUGUUACAAGCUUUUAAGCGUAACUCUCAUAUCAAGACAUUCUUUGUUUUAAAAUUUUGUAUUUUUGUAUGUGACCUAGCUUUUUCAAAAAAUGUUGUUCCUAUGAGAUUAGAAAACUUGAGAGAAGCAUUUACAUAUUUAUUAACAUAAAAUUAUGGCUUGCCUUUGAAAGGUAAAGUUGGUAAAUACACACUGUUUAAAAAUGCCAAUAAAAACCUCAUUUAUUUCAUAUAUGCAAGUUGAUUUGCACAUGUAUAAAUAGAGUUGCUUUUUUGCAUUUUUUGCUUAGUUUGUUUCUUUUUGUGCUUUAUAGUCACAGCUGUGUUUGUUUAUAUCAGAUUGUUUCUCCUACAAAUAUUUAAUGUUUAUGUGCCUUUUUUUUUUUCUUUACUUUGGGGUUUGGAUGGCUGCUUUUAAUGCGGACACUGUCUGAACAAGUAUAAUGGAACACUAACUGCAGGUAAAACCCAGUGCUGGAUCACUGUAGAUCUGUUAGCAGAACCCAUUCUGAAUGUUUUGAAAUAACAGGAAGAUCUGCUCUAAAAACGUAGGGGUUAAUAAGAUAAAAGACACUGAAACAUCACUGAUUCUUACCAAAAUUUGCUUCUGCCAGUGAAAUGCCUUUUACUGAACGUCUGUAAUUGGACACGAAUGCUCCUGCUGGGACAGAUGUCUGUGUAAUGACAGAGCAAACUGCACCCGCUGUAUUCUCCUGGGAGACAAUGCUAACAAAAAACCUGUAGGAAUAGUCAGGCUUGAUUUGAUGAACGGGAAGAAUGAAGAUCUGUUCUUUCAGAUAGAAGCGUGUUCAGAUGGAAAUGCACGGAGUGACUCCUGGUGCUCCUAACAUGCAGUCCUUUAUGGAUAUAAAGGAGUCCAUAUCCAAAUGUAUGAGCCUCAGUGGAGAGGGAAUUCUGGCUGUUCAUCUGACUGCAGAAAUCUGUUUUCAUUUCUGUGAGGACGUUUUGUCUAACAGCUGCUGCUCCAGGUUCAGCAGCACAGGCUUGAGGACAGAGCCAGGUUUCUGUGCGCUCCCUGAGCAGCUCUGCUGCAAACACUCGCAGCACUUUGUAACUUGCUCGCUGACAGGUGCUCAGACUUAUCCAAAAUUACCAUCAGGUGCAGCUGAGGUUGUUCACCACAUCUUCUCUCCUUGCUUACUGACAUUGUUCUGUCCUUUAAAUCCUCCUUUGUGUCCACUCUAAAUUACAAAGAUGGGUUACAAGCUGCUACCCUCAGUAUAAACAAAAUUCAGGUUGCUUUCUUUGGCAUAUAUUUUGUUCAUAGUGCCAUUCAGGACCAGAUUUUACUUCAAUGAAAAUUAAAGGGGAUAAAUGAGGCUGGGUACAAUUCUCAUCCAAGUAAUUAAUUUCAUAACUCCCACUGGCUUCACUGGUAGCAGCACUCCUCCAGUAAUUUCUCUUCAAAUUAAAAAAAAACAGCUCUCCCUUUUUAAUAAAGCACCAUCCUACAGCAUAAAGACUAAACCCUUGCAGGUUAUGCUGUGCAUGUUACCAGCAGCCAGUUUUGCUUGCUGCUAUGGCAUUUACCAUCACUAAUUUGGUGUGACUCACCGUAAUAGUAUCGGUUCAGAACAUGGUUAAAUAACUGUCCACUCUGCAUUUCGGAGUGCUAGAGUCUAUUUUUGUUUUGAUUGUUUGUUUUAAAGAGAAUAUCAGUUACCAUUUUCAACUUUAAAGCCUUUCUUCGACAGGUGCUAACUUUUUGGCAUGGCUGUGAGUGACAUUUUCCCUGCAGCUGCUUUCAGCUUUUGACAUAGGAUUGGUUUCCAUUUGUGGUUCUCCUUUGUCCCCAAUGGUUCAGGGACCACUGUAAAGCUGAGGAGAACGGAGCACUGGCAGAUAUAGGCUUCUGGUCAGGCUGGAAAGGCCAGGGACAGGUUUCAUGUAGGUAUGUUUUAAUAAUACUGCCGUAGCGUAGCAUUAAAACAUUUUGUUUAAUGGUCAGUGACUUAAAUCUUGUCUUCAUGUUUUUAGGUAGCUCCAGAGUUGUUUUUAAGUUAGUUUGUAAAUUCCAAAUGUUAUAUUUAAAUGGAAUGCAUAAACAGCAAACUCGACAUAUCAAGUGUGAAAUGUUUACUGUAGGGAUGUAUUGAAAAUUCCAGAGGCUGAACCUCAGAUGUGAGGCACUGCUCAUGUUCUUUCUUCCAGGGAAGAGUAGCAAAGUGCAGCUUCCAUGUGAGUCAUCCUUUACACAUUCACUUAAUUAGAACCAGCGUUGGGUUCUGAUUCAACAGACCUCACCCAACAGCACAAAGCCACCUGCUUAUUAAAUGGGUAAAUAAAGUCAGGUCCUCAAAGCGCUGGUAAAAUGAGUUGUAAUUCCACCUUCCCCACAGUGCGGCGUGUCACACAGCCCAGCCCAGCUCCUGGCAGAAAGUUGUUCCUGGUGUCACACAGGUACGUGGUGAAUCAGGCUGCAUGGCUGGCUGAGGGCAGUUCAUUUUAAUAGGGUUAUACCCAGAACUCAUUUGUUUCAUUAACAAGCUUGCUGUAAUAUGGUGACAGUGAAACCAUUCUAUUUGGUUUUCACAAAGGAAUACGGCAGAGGAGGAAGAAAUGGCAGUUUUUAGUGAAAGGAAAAGGGAGACAAUUUUCUGAGAAAACUUACCCUGCAGAUUAUAAACAGAGCAAUGUUGAAACAUAAGGGUGAGACGGAGCAGCUCUCCUUUCUGAUCUCAUUCCUUCCCUGGAGGCUUCUCCAUAGGGAAAGGCUAGAAAAUUCUGAGUAAUCCCUGUAGCACUGUAAGGGGAGUAAUCAAACAAAAACCUACUGAAAUCUGUCAAAACAAAAGCUGCUUUUUGCAGGAAAUAAUUUGGAGUCAGAGUUUUUACAGUUCCGUAAGAACUUUGGGGUCAGGCUGGUUACUGCGUGUGUUCAGUUGGAAUUCUCUCCUGAAGCCUUGACUCUUUGUUUUAUUUGAACAGUUGUGUUCCACUAUAUUGCGUUCAAACAGUUUGAUUCUGAAAGAUCAGAACACAGUGAUUCAGAUACUGUCAAGUUACUGGGGUUCAGUAGGAUAAGAUUUUAUUUUUUUUAGAAACGUAAAUGUCUGUACUUUAAUGGCAUAGAAAAAUGCUUUGUUUUCACUGUUGUAGAAUAAAACUAGGGAGAACUUUAUUUUUCAAUAAACCUUUUUCUUGUGUGAUUUGGAUCUCUGAUUGUUUUGUGCAUAAAUGGAAAAUCCGUGAGCUGCCACGGACCCAGAGCUGCAUCUGUGUGCCCAUCCUGCAGCCCACAGCUGCCCACGCAGCAGCAGCAGUCCCACGGCCCCCAUCCCAGUGGUAAGAAAGGACGCUUCGUUAUCUUUCUGUUUGGUUUUGUUCUAAAUCUAAAGUGGAUUUAAAAACAGAUAAAAUCAAGAUUCAUUUCAGGAGGGCAACUUGCCCUCUCCAAUAGUUAGACAUAUUUCCUCAAAAUUUUCA